UACAGAGGUCCCGAGCGUUGUUCGGAUUCACUGGGCGUAAAGGGUGCGUAGGUGGCAUGGUAAGUUUGAUGUGAAAGCUCAGGGCUCAACCCUGAAAUGGCAUUGAAUACUACUGUGCUGGAGGUUUGGAGGGGGGACUGGAAUUCUUGGUGUAGCAGUGAAAUGCGUAGAUAUCAAGAGGAACACCAGUGGCGAAGGCGAGUCCCUGGACAACACCUGACACUGAGGCGCGACAGCGUGGGGAGCAAACAGG
rnacentral:rRNA from 1 species